GCCAUGCAUGUCUAAGUAUAAGCAAUCUAUACCGUGAAACUGCGAAUGGCUCAUUAAAUCAGUUAUCGUUUAUUUGAUAGUACCUUUACUUGGAUAACUGUGGUAAUUCUAGAGCUAAUACAUGCUAAAAACCUCGACUUCGGAAGGGGUGUAUUUAUUAGAUAAAAAACCAAUGCCCUUCGGGGCUCCUUGGUGAUUCAUAAUAACUUAACGAAUCGCAUGGCCUUGCGCCGGCGAUGGUUCAUUCAAAUUUCUGCCCUAUCAACUUUCGAUGGUAAGAUAGUGGCUUACCAUGGUCUUAACGGGUAACGGGGAAUUAGGGUUCUAUUCCGGAGAGGGAGCCUGAGAAACGGCUACCACAUCCAAGGAAGGCAGCAGGCGCGCAAAUUACCCAAUCCCAAUACGGGGAGGUAGUGACAAUAAAUACUGAUACAGGGCUCUUUUGGGUCUUGUAAUUGGAAUGAGUACAAUUUAAAUCCCUUAACGAGGAACAAUUGGAGGGCAAGUCUGGUGCCAGCAGCCGCGGUAAUUCCAGCUCCAAUAGCGUAUAUUAAAGUUGUUGCAGUUAAAAAGCUCGUAGUUGAACUUUGGGUCUGGCUGAUCUGUCCUCCUAAUCGAGCGCACGGAUUCGGUCGGACCUUUCCUUCUGGGGAACCCUAUGCCCUUCACUGGGCGUAGUGGGGAACCAGGA
rnacentral:rRNA from 2 species